rnacentral:lncRNA from 1 species
ACUGAUGACGACUGGGCAGAAGUGAGGAAGGGCGCUGUGGGGCAGAAGUUAGAGAAACAACAUCAAGAACUGGUGAAGGCAAAUAAGUCCAAAUUCUUGGAAUAUCUCAAAUAACCAGGAUAUUGCAUGUGCUGGUGUUUGCCCAAAACAAGGAAAUGUGAACAGAAAUGUCCUUAUCCACAGUUGGCAUAAACCAUACUUACUGAUGUCAAAGCACAACAGAAAGUCUAAUAAGAUACUGCUUAUAUAAAAGUGUCAUUUCUUUUCCUAAUGUACAACAUCUCCCAGAAAUUAGUUUCAUCAUAAAAUAAAGUUUGAUUUCCUGCUCUCAACUGCUGCUGAUCUUUUUUUUCUUUUGUAAUUUUGCUUUGUCACUUGUAGAAUCACACUUAAUUUUGCUGACAUACAAAAAUAAUUAAACUACAUGAUGAAGACUUAUCGGUGUCCGUUGUAUUUUCUCAGUCUGAUUUACUUUAUAAUGCUUUACAGUUUGGUUAAUAUGUAAUCUGUAUUUAAAUUAUACAAACAGUUUAAAGUGUGGGGUGUAGUGCUGUACAUGGGGGAGUGUGUAAAUGACUUCAAAUACAAAAAUGUUAAGGGGUUUGCUGUAGUCAGUUUUGUCGACUGCUUUUGUUUUGGUAUUUCCUGUUUGAAGAAGUAGGUAGAAGGUUUUAUUUUACGGCGCUAGUUCACGGAAAACUAAAGGUGUUAAAAAAGACACGGAACAAGGAAGGCGCUAAUUACUUCAUUUAUUACUGUAUUUUUGUUUAGAUUCCGUCGAAGUGGAAACAAGCUCUUACGUUGGUUUGUGGAGUUAUACCCAAGGAAAUAAACGCUGCCAGAUCAGUAAAACACGUUUUGGCAAUGGAUGACAACCAGCAAACGAGAACGGAAGAAUAUCUGACGACCCAAGAGCCUUUGAGAAGUAAUGCCUUCCUGCUAAUCAUGCAGAUGUUAGAAUGGUCCAAACAGAAUCCAGGAGGUCAACACUUAGUGGAGGAGAUGCUACACGGGAUCUUCUUUCUGGGAGAGAUCAACAGGAUACCAUAUUCUCCAGAAAUGAUCUUUGGGAGUGAUGUAGUGAUGUUACAAAAUUUGAAGCAGUCCUACCCUGAUCCUUUUGAGUUCUAUUUAUCUCAGCUACCUAAGCGGAGUCCAUUUUCGUGUGUGUUAGACAUGGUUGUCUACCUGGCUGAAGAAUGGAAUGAAAACCUCAUUAAACACAUGUUACAAAACAUUAACAGACAAACACAAACAAACACUAACGACUUAAAUACAAAGCAUCUGAUCUCCUCCACCGCGUGUGUCUCUGUGUGUGAAGAAGACAAACGAGAAGAAAAAGGAAAAGAAAAAGAAGUGUGUGUCUCUCAGAAGGAUGAGAAUCCAGAUUCAGUCAGGUACUACGGAGUCUCCAUGUCCACGUCUGGUGGUGAUGUUGGGCAAAUCGUGAUUGCUGCCUCCUGUUUGAGCUACUGGGACAAUUACGUAGCUGAUGCAGUGAUGACCUAUUAUCCUAGACAAGUCAAGAAAAAAUACUUUGAUGGAACCAUUAAACUUCCACAGGUCAGGUGCAAAGCGUUUAGCAUCAGUGAUGGAGUAGAAAUGUCUCCAUGCAGAUCAUGUCAGAAUUUGUUUGGUUUAAGAAAUUAUACUGCAGACAGAAGUGUACCAGGAAAAUGGGCUUAUGGCAACUGUGCUGAAGCUGAGAGUUUGAGCAACCUGUUGAAAAAUGAGAGUGGAAUUAAAGAGCAGGUGCGGCCAACGUCUGCCACGUACACAGAUGAGAACAGGAAGAAGGCUAAAAGACAUGUCCUGAACAAUCUCAGGGGUGUGCUAGGCGAGAUACGUAAAAGGAAUGAAAAGAGUAAAAGGAUACCAGCCUUUGAAUGGAAUGGGAUGAUCUAUCCUAACACUCAGUUACGUCUGUAGAUAGGAUUUUUUUUUUCAUGGUAUAUGAAGAAACGAGAUUAGUGCAGGAGAUAGUCAGGACAGGAAAUAACAGGCAAGUUAGUGUAUGACAAAAAAACAAACAAACAUGAUAAUUAAUGCAACAAACUGAUUUUUCUUAAAAACACACUGAAAACUGGCUUAGUUAAAAUGAAUGUGAUUUAUAUAAAGUUUUAACAUUGGAAAUGGCUGAUGUUACUUGUUAUGUGUAUUUUUAUUCCUAUUGACAAUAGACAUGCAAAUGAUUUUAUGGCAAACUCUGCAAGACUAAUGUGUGUACAACUUGAAUGAAGCAUGCAAGAUAUGUAAAGAUUGAUAAAAAAUUCAUACAAAGUAUUGGGAAUUAACGCCAUGUCAAGAGCUUUGGGAUAAAUGGAAGAACUGAAAAAGUGACGAGGGUGGGACAUCAACCAUCAUUUAGAAACCAAACAACCAAUGUAGCUGACCAUAUAGUAAGCUUGAUCAUAUUUAUGGUUUCACAGAACCAGGAAG